rnacentral:rRNA from 1 species
AUUGAACGCUGGCGGCAUGCUUUACACAUGCAAGUCGAACGGUAACAGGGUGCUUGCACCGCUGACGAGUGGCGAACGGGUGAGUAAUGCGUCGGAACGUGCCGAGUAGUGGGGGAUAACGCAUCGAAAGGUGUGCUAAUACCGCAUACGUACUGAGGUAGAAAGUGGGGGACCUUCGGGCCUCACGCUAUUCGAGCGGCCGACGUCUGAUUAGCUAGUUGGUGAGGUAAAGGCUCACCAAGGCGACGAUCAGUAGCGGGUCUGAGAGGAUGAUCCGCCACACUGGGACUGAGACACGGCCCAGACUCCUACGGGAGGCAGCAGUGGGGAAUUUUGGACAAUGGGCGCAAGCCUGAUCCAGCCAUGCCGCGUGUCUGAAGAAGGCCUUCGGGUUGUAAAGGACUUUUGUCCGGGAGCAAAUACCCAGUGCUAAUAACGCUGGGGGCUGAGAGUACCGGAAGAAUAAGCACCGGCUAACUACGUGCCAGCCGCCGCAGUAAUAC